rnacentral:rRNA from 1 species
AUAGGUCAUCAGACGAGAGAGAUUACCCGCUGAACUUAA